GUUGUUUAGUCUACAAAGAGGAGACUGAGAGAAGACCUCACUACUCUCUAAAAAUACUUGAAAGGAAGUUGUAACAAGGAACUGGUUGAAGUGCUGGAGGGCUGGGCUGCUAUUCGGAGGGCCCAUGCAACUUUGGAGAGGAGAACAGACAGGACUCCAUGAAAUUCAUCAUAGGCAUGUGUCAAGUCCUGCACCUGGAGAGGAAUAACCUUGUGCACCAGUACAAACUGGGAGAAGACUUUCUGGAAAGUAGUUCUGAAGCGUAAGGCCUGUGGAUCCCUGUCAUCAAGUCUGAGCCUGGAUCAGCAGUGAGGCCUUGAAACAUGGGUGGCCCAACCUAUCCUGCAUUGGCAAGAAUGUAGUCUGCGGUUUCAGGGAAGUGAUACUUCUCUUCUGUUUGGCAUCCGUGAUACCACUUCUGAAUACAGUGUCCAGUCUGGAUCCAUUGUGGUUUAACCUUGGUAGGCAGUUCAGCAUCAUGCAGAUGCUCAGUAACUCCCUGUCACUGGUAAGAUGGGGGAGAGAAUCAGAAAGGUAAAAGUGCAAGGAUUCAGGGGUUGAGAUAAAGACGGUUUACUAGGUAAAGCAAAAGCUGUGUGUACAAGCAAAGCAGAACAAGGAAUUCACUCACUUCUUCCUAUCAGCAAGCAGAUGUUUGUCCUUUGCCAGGAAAGCAGGGCUCGUCACACAUAACAGUUUCUUGGGAAGGAAAACACCGUUAUUCUGAAUAUUCUCUUCUCUUCCCUCUUCUGUCCCAGCUUUUAUUGUUGAGCAUGAUGCCUUAUGGUAUAAGUCAACCCUUUGGUCAGUCUGAAUCACCUGUCAUGGCCACAUCCCCUCCCAGCUCCUCAUGUACCACCAGCCUCCUUACCGUCAGGGCAGCAUGACAAGUGGAAGAGUCCUUGGCUCUGUGUGAGAACUCCUCUGCAUCAACUAAAACAUCGGUGUGUUAUCAGCAUUAUUCUCAUCCUCCAUCCCAAACACAACACCAUACCAUCUACUAGGAAGAAAACUUUAUUACAUCUAAAACCAGGACAAUAUUCUUUGUCAACCAGCAUUGCAUUACUUAUUAUUAUUAUUUUAAACUAUGAAGGGACGUACAAACAUUUUUUAUUAUGCUAUGUACAACUGUAUUUAGUGGUGCAGAGUUUUGAUAUUCUGCUGCUGGGAGCUUGUGUUACUUGCAACAUGUGAAACACCAUUGGAAAAUAAGAAUACCUUCACUGUGCCA